CUUCAAUAGUGAUCCAGCAUUGUGGUAAACAUAACCAGCACUCUUCAAGCGAUGAGAGUUUAUCUAAAGGUGGUGGUGGGUCGAAAACGGUGGAGGAGAUGGAAACAGGGAGAAUGAGUUUGUUAUAAUUUGAAGCUCAAUAUUCUUUCCCAAGAGGCAGCCUAUUAUUUUUUUGGAAUAAAAGACGUCGGGCUGUGGUACUUAGUACUUAAAUUUAAUUUAUCAAGCAAAUUAAGUAGACUCAGCAAUGUUCUUAGCUACAUCCCACGACAAGGCAUCUGAGGCUUGGACCAAAUUUUCACCAAAUUGGAUGGAGCUAAAAAGGUUGUGCUGGAAGCAGUGCAAACCUGUUGACCAAACUCAUAUUGGAGGACCAUACUGAUUCUUAUAGAUGGGAGAUUUGUUUGGAAUAAAAGACAUCUAGCUGUGGUAUUUAGUGCUUAAAUGACCCGACUACUUUCAUCUCAUUUAAGGGUGGAAUCGAGAAAGCCAGAAUGAUUUUCAUCAGCUGAACCAAUAUCUCAUAGGUCCUCCAAAUUCGAAGAUUAUAAAAUCACCGGACAAGAGUACAUGGACUCCAAAAAACUGUAGAUGAUUCUGUUUUGGCUGACAAGUCUGCAUUGGUAUUGUUCCACCUCAUUUCUAAGAGCAUUUUGUUUUAAGAGAGCGUCUGUUGACCACCUGAGGUGGCUAUCCAACUGGGGAUUAUAGCACACAGCAUUUGUCUAUUGCGGUGAGGAGAGAGGCUGUUGAAUCUGAAGGUUGUCUGAAGCUCUUUUUUGGGUCUGAGAAGAUUAAAUCUCAAGUGGAAGUUCAUCAAUCGAUCUCAAAACCGAGUAGAUCAAAAAUAUUGCAGUUGGGAAUCAUCGGUUGUUUAUGGUGCAUUGCUGAAAAUUGAAUUUAGAUUCUCAGACCCAAAUAAGGGACUCGAGAGCUAAGUCAGAAUCUUUUGGUGGGUGUGCUCCGAGCAGCAAUCAAAAUCAUAGGUAUGCAUCUUUUCUCUUCUUUAUAUAAAAUCAGACAGAUGGGUCUUAGUUGCUGCUUAUGGCUCGAUUACUGGAUUUGUGGGAUUAUGAAUCAAGCAAUAGGUUAGAAAAAAACAUUACCUCUUUGAAUAAAUUCUCCAAAGGUGGAGCUUCAUUUAUUUGCAUGCUUAAUCUGUUUUUGGGUGUCAAAGUUGAUCCGAGAUGAUUGAUGGAUAAAUAUCUAGACUUGCAGUGCUGAAUUAGUCUGGUUGUGUUCCUUCAGUAGUGAAUUCAUGCUGUUUGGAAAUUCGUGUUUAGUUUGUAUGUUUGGUAUACUUGCUUGUUCACCCAAAACUGAAAACUAGAUGACUGAUGUGCAAUCUGAUGGCAGGGGAAGUGAAUAUGUAGAAAUUAAUGUAGCCAUAGAUAGCCUUCAUUCUACAAUGAUAAACAUGUGAUGCUUUAGCAAUGAAGCAAAAAACUUGCCUUUGUCCCAAUCCGUUAUCAGGCUGAUAGCUGUCGGCUUACAUCUGUUGGUAUUUUCUGUUCUACUACUGUUUUUCAUCAAACUGUAAAUCAUGACUUGAUUUUAGAAAAUACAGCAUGAAAGUUAAGAAUUUCGAAAACUGGGCAGUUGAGACAAGGUUCAUAAUGCAGAACUGAAGUUGUUCUUUUUUAAUGUAAUUUGGGGUGUUCAAUGGAUGUCAUGAUCAGAUUAAACCGUUUUGGAUCAGUUCAACAAUUUGGAAGAACUAUUAUUGAAGAUUUAUUAGAGUUGAAAGUCAGGGAUUUGUUCUCAAAGUAUGAAACCUGAAAAGUAGUCAUUACCAAUCAACUUUCUUUAUUGUUUACCUCAUAAAACAACACCCUACAUUUUUUGGUCUUGAAAUGGAAGUGAGAAUAAUUGAAAUGUUACUAAAUUGACCUGCAAAUAAUGCUUCAGUUUCUCUGCAUAGUUUGGGUCAAUUUGGUUUUUGGUGAUUCUUAUUGGUUUACCUUACUGAGUGUAUGAGUAUGUGUAAGUAUAUUGGGCUAUUACCAUUCAACACAUGCUCUCCCAAAGCUGCUAGGAGAUCAGAAGAUGCAAAGGAUCAGGAGAAUAUCUCUCUUGCCUUUCCGGUGUUUCGAGGCCAUAAAGGAAGAUUGCAGAAAUCAGAUCACCACGAGGAAAUUAAGGAAAUCAUGCUCACUGAUUUUGAUAUAAAGAUGUCCUUUAAUUCAUAUCAUUUUUGCAUGAUUCUAAUUUGAUUUGCAUUGCCUUUAGUUGAUCUGAAAAAUCUCAUUUGUUCUAAAAUGCAUAUCCGAUAGAGAUUUGAUCAUGUGUUUUGAUUGCAUACU